rnacentral:lncRNA from 1 species
GAUUGGCAGCCGGGGUGUACUCCGGGAUAACGUACGGCCUGAGAGAGGCCAGAGGGCACCAUGACUGGGUUGGUUUCUCGAUCUCUACUUGUCUCUAGAUAUUUAUCUACUUGCUGUUUCAGAAUUAACUAACUGGUCGGUGCUUGUUAACCGGAUGAUGAUGAUGCUGCUGCAGAAGAAUAGCGCGAUAGCAGGGGCGAUCGCCGGAGCAGCCGUCGCGCUGACAGGGGACAACGGGCACUCCGACCACGUCGUCCAUUUCGCCAUCACCGGAGCCGCACUGUCGAGCGCGGCGACCAUGCUCUCAGGCAUAUUCUAAGCCAUGGAGCGUGGGGCUAGGGCUAAAGAAAUUCGGGGCAGCUCUUGAAAUGUGUAGCGUUUCCCUUGAUUUCUCCAUGUACCUUCGACAGUUUGCGCACUCUGCCCCAUCUGCUAGCCAGCCCUGCAACUAAGCAAGUCCGAAUCUCGUUAGAAUUUCUCCAUGUACCUUGGAUAAUCUUGAAAUGUGUUUUAUCUAUGGCACUUCAGAAUGCUCAGGAGUUGGCCUCGAAUUAAUCCUCUAUAUGACCACAUAGAUGUGUAGAUGAGGGUACAUACAGUUGCUGGAGGAGCAAAUUGCUCAAAACAGCCACAUUUGUGGCUAGAGUAUUCUAAAACCACGGCUUUUGCCAAAAAUCACGAAUCACCGCCAUUUCUAUAGCAAAUGAGUAAC